rnacentral:lncRNA from 1 species
UGCUUCUUUAUUUCAUUGCAUUGAAUUCAUCUUAUCUUAUCUUAUAGUAUAAAAUCAUAACUUUAAGGUCUUUGAAAAUAGCGGAAAAAUACAAUUAUUUGGUGCAUACAUAAAUACAAAAUGACAGCUCCUUGAAUAUUCUAACAUAGAAUAUAUUGUACAAUUCUUUUGUUUGAGCAAGAACUCGUUCAUCCUAACCAACCAUUUGUACAAAAGCCUUUACGACAUCUACCCUUAAUUUUUUUAUCAUCUGGACAAUCUUUAUCUGUUAUACAAGGCAGAAAAAUAAUACUAGAAUCACAUGCUACUAUAACAAGAAAUAUGAAAAUAAGCAGAAUCAGAACAUUAACAAACU